rnacentral:rRNA from 1 species
CCUACGGGGGGCAGCAGUGAGGAAUAUUGGUCAAUGGACGAGAGUCUGAACCAGCCAAGUAGCGUGAAGGGUGACUGCCCUAUGGGUUGUAAACUUCUUUUAUAUGGGAAUAAAAUGUUCCACGUGUGGGAUUUUGUAUGUACCAUAUGAAUAAGGAUCGGCUAACUCCGUGCCAGCAGCCGCGGUAAUACGGAGGAUCCGAGCGUUAUCCGGAUUUAUUGGGUUUAAAGGGAGCGUAGGUGGAUUGUUAAGUCAGUUGUGAAAGUUUGCGGCUCAACCGUAAAAUUGCAGUUGAAACUGGCAGUCUUGAGUACAGUAGAGGUGGGCGGAAUUCGUGGUGUAGCGGUGAAAUGCUUAGAUAUCACGAAGAACUCCGAUUGCGAAGGCAGUUCACUGGACUGCAACUGACACUGAGGCUCGAAAGUGUGGGUAUCAAACAGGAUUAGAUACCCGGGUAGUC